rnacentral:rRNA from 1 species
AGUGAACGCUGGCGGUAGGCCUAACACAUGCAAGUCGAACGGCAGCACAGUAAGAGCUUGCUCUUACGGGUGGCGAGUGGCGGACGGGUGAGGAAUACAUCGGAAUCUACUUUUUCGUGGGGGAUAACGUAGGGAAACUUACGCUAAUACCGCAUACGACCUACGGGUGAAAGCAGGGGAUCUUCGGACCUUGCGGGAUUGAAUGAGCCGAUGUCGGAUUAGCUAGUUGGCGGGGUAAAGGCCCACCAAGGCGAGGAUCCGUAGCUGGUCUGAGAGGAUGAUCAGCCACACUGGAACUGAGACACGGUCCAGACUCCUACGGGAGGCAGCAGUGGGGAAUAUUGGACAAUGGUCGCAAGCCUGAUCCAGCCAUACCGCGUGGGUGAAGAAGGCCUUCCGGUUGUAAAGCCCUUUUGUUGGGAAAGAACAGCAGCAGGUUAAUACCCCGCUGUUCUGACGGUACCCAAAGAAUAAGCACCGGCUAACUUCGUG